rnacentral:misc_RNA from 1 species
UCACCCCUCAAGCCCCGGCUUGGUGUUGGGCCCCCGGUGGUCGUACCCGACCACCCGCCUCAAAGAUAGUGACGGCGUCCCAAGAGGGAACCGGUACGAGGAGCUUUCACGAGCAUGUACGCGGGACGACUCUGUGGGCGACGGUCUUUUUUAACCUUAAUAUAUCAAG